UACAGAGGUCUCAAGCGUUGUUCGGAUUCAUUGGGCGUAAAGGGUGCGUAGGCGGCGCGGUAAGUCGGAUGUUAAAUCCCCAGGCUCAACCUGGGACACCACCCGAUACUGCUCUGGCUAGAGUCCGGUAGGGGAGCGUGGAAUUCCUGGUGUAGCGGUGAAAUGCGCAGAUAUCAGGAGGAACACCAGCGGCGAAGGCGGCGCUCUGGGCCGGUACUGACACUGAGGAGCGAAAGCGUGGGUAGCAAACAGG
rnacentral:rRNA from 1 species